GUGUUCGUAGAAAGGAGAGAUGGUUGGAAUCUCCCCAAACAAGGAUAGGGAAGCCUUUGGGCUUUACCUGACAACAAAACUUGUCUACUUUUC
rfam:Nicotiana attenuata strain TT chromosome 7, whole genome shotgun sequence.